rnacentral:rRNA from 1 species
CGGGGUGAGUAAUGCUUGGGAAUCUGGCUUAUGGAGGGGGAUAACUACGGGAAACUGUAGCUAAUACCGCGUAGUGUCGAGAGACGAAAGUGCGGGCCGAAAGGCCGCAUGCCAUGAGAUGAGCCCAAGUGGGAUUAGGUAGUUGGUGGGGUAAAGGCCUACCAAGCCUGCGAUCUCUAGCUGGUCUGAGAGGAUGGCCAGCCACACUGGAACUGAGACACGGUCCAG